rnacentral:rRNA from 1 species
GAUGAACGCUAGCGAUAGGCUUAACACAUGCAAGUCGAGGGGCAGCAUGGUCUUAGCUUGCUAAGACUGAUGGCGACCGGCGCACGGGUGCGUAACGCGUAUGCAACUUGCCUCACAGAGGGGGAUAACCCGUCGAAAGACGGACUAAUACCGCGUACACUUGGGAUAGGGCAUCCUGACCCAAGGAAAUGAAAUUCGCUGUGAGAUAGGCAUGCGUCCCAUUAGCUAGUUGGUGAGGUAACGGCUCACCAGGGCGACGAUGGGUAGGGGAACUGAGAGGUUGAACCCCCGCACUGGUACUGAGACACGGACCAGACUCCUACGGGAGGCAGCAGUGAGGAAUAUUGAUCAAUGGGCGAGAGCCUGAACCAGCCAAGUCGCGUGAAGGAUGACUGUCUUAUGGAUUGUAAACUUCUUUUAUACGGGAAUAACAAGAGUCACGUGUGGCUCCCUGCAUGUACCGUAUGAAUAAGCAUCGGCUAACUCCGUG